AUUGAACGCUGGCGGCAUGCCUUACACAUGCAAGUCGAACGGCAGCACGGGAGCAAUCCUGGUGGCGAGUGGCGAACGGGUGAGUAAUAUAUCGGAACGUGCCCAGUCGUGGGGAUAACGUAGCGAAAGCUACGCUAAUACCGCAUACGAUCUACGGAUGAAAGCGGGGGAUCGCAAGACCUCGCGCGAUUGGAGCGGCCGAUAUCAGAUUAGGUAGUUGGUGAGGUAAAGGCUCACCAAGCCGACGAUCUGUAGCUGGUCUGAGAGGACGACCAGCCACACUGGGACUGAGACACGGCCCAGACUCCUACGGAGGCAGCAGUGGGGAAUUUUUGGGACAAUGGGCGCAAGCCCUGAGUCCAGCAAUGCCGCGUGCAGGAUGAAGGCC
rnacentral:rRNA from 1 species